AAAGUCGUAACAAGGUUUCCGUAGGUGAACCUGCGGAAGGAUCAUUAUUAAAUGCGAAGCCAUCACUGGCCUAGCUUUAUAAUCCCUUAUUACACCUGUGCACCUUAUUGUCUUUGGACAAUUUUAACAAACAUCAGUGUAAAGAAUGUAAACUAUUAUAAUAAAUACAACUUUUAACAACGGAUCUCUUGGCUCUC
rnacentral:misc_RNA from 1 species